UCUUUGUCCUCGCAUCCGUGUGCGUAUAGCGCAAUCCCAAGCGGGUAGGAGCGAGAGAAGAGAUGGGAGGGAAACAUGCUGGAGUAGCGACCCAGUAGCACAUUAACUCCC
rnacentral:ribozyme from 1 species